rnacentral:rRNA from 1 species
UUGAUCCUGGCUCAGGAUGAACGCUGGCGGUCUGCUUAACACAUGCAAGUCGAACGCAACCUUCGGGUUGAGUGGCGGACGGGUGAGUAACGCGUGAGAAUCUGCCUUGGGGUCGGGGACAACCACUGGAAACGGUGGCUAAUACCGGAUAAGCCUUUGGGUAAAAGAUUUAUUGCCCCAAGAGGAGCUCGCGUCUGAUUAGCUAGUUGGUGAGGUAAGAGCUCACCAAGGCAGCGAUCAGUAGCUGGUCUGAGAGGACGAUCAGCCACACUGGGACUGAGACACGGCCCAGACUCCUACGGGAGGCAGCAGUGGGGAAUUUUCCGCAAUGGGCGAAAGCCUGACGGAGCAAGACCGCGUGAGGGAGGAAGGCUCUUGGGUUGUAAACCUCUUUUCUCAGGGAAGAAGCUCUGACGGUACCUGAGGAAUCAGCCUCGUGCUAACUCCGUGCCAGCAGCCGCGGUAAUACGGAGGAGGCAAGCGUUAUCCGGAAUUAUUGGGCGUAAAGCGUCCGCAGGUGGCGAUUCAAGUCUGCUGUCAAAGCACGGGGCUUAACUCCGUUAAGGCAGUGGAAACUGAAUAGCUAGAGUGCCGUAGGGGUAGAGGGAAUUCCCGGUGUAGCGGUGAAAUGCGUAGAGAUCGGGAAGAACAUCGGUGGCGAAAGCGCUCUACUGGACGGCAACUGACACUCAGGGACGAAAGCUAGGGGAGCGAAUGGGAUUAGAUACCCCAGUAGUCCUAGCUGUAAACGAUGGAUACUAGGUGUAGCUUGUAUCGACCCGAGCUGUGCCGAAGCUAACGCGUUAAGUAUCCCGCCUGGGGAGUACGCACGCAAGUGUGAAACUCAAAGGAAUUGACGGGGGCCCGCACAAGCGGUGGAGUAUGUGGUUUAAUUCGAUGCAACGCGAAGAACCUUA